UACCUCUCAGGGUCACACCUGGAGAGUUUCCAAUACUCUACCAGUCUCAAGUAAAGGAGGGAGAGUCAAGCAGAGGCAUAUCCAUUCCAUUCCUAGUUUGGGCAGUGGCUAGCAAUUGGAAGUCAAUCUGCUGCAAGU